rnacentral:rRNA from 1 species
AGAGUUUGAUCAUGGCUCAGGAUGAAUGCUGGCGGCGUGCCUAAUACAUGCAAGUCGAGCGGCAGCGCGUCUAGUUACUAGAUGGCGGCGAGCGGCGGACGGCUGAGUAACGCGUAGGAAUGUGCCCCAAAGUGAGGAAUAACUGCCCGAAAGGGUAGCUAAUGCCGCAUAUGGUCUUCGGAUUAAAGGAUUUAUCCGCUUUGGGAGCAGCCUGCGUACGAUUAGAUAGUUGGUGAGGUAAUGGCUCACCCAAGUCGACGAUCGUUAGCUGGUCUGAGAGGAUGAUCAGCCAGACUGGAACUGAGACACGGUCCAGACUCCUACGGGAGGCAGCAGUAAGGAAUCUUCCACAAUGGGCGAAAGCCUGAUGGAGCAACGCCGCGUGCAGGAUGAAGGCCUUCGGGUUGUAAACUGCUUUAUGAGUGAAGAAUAUGACGGUAACUCAUGAAUAAGCACCGGCUAACUACGUG